AACAGGUGGGGAUAGUGUGGAACAGGUGGGGACAGUGGGGAACAGGUGGGGAUAGUGUGGAAGAGGUGGAGCCAGCGGGGAACAGGAGGGGAAGAGGUGGGGCCAGCGGGGAACAGGUGGGGACAGUGGAGAACAGGUGGGGGCAGAAAAUAACAGGUGGGGACAGUGGAGAACAGGUGGGGGCAGAAAAUAACAGGUGGGAACAGGUGGGGACAGUGGAGAACAGGUGGGGACAUUGGGGAACAGGUGGGCACAGUGGAGAACAGGUGGGGGCAGAAAAUAACAGGUGGGGACAGUGGAGUACAGGUGGGGACAAUGGUGAACAGGUAGGGACAGUGGGGAACAGGUGGGGACAGUGGAGAACAGGUGGGGACAGUGGAAAACAGGUGGGGACAGUGGAGAACAGGUGGGGACAGUGGAAAACAGGUGGGGACAGUGGAGAACAGGUGGGGACAGUGGAGAACAGGUGGGGACAGUGGAGAACAGAUGGGGCAGAAAAGAACAGGUGGGGAACAGGUGGGGAAAGUGGAGAACAGAUAGGGACAGUGGAGAACAGGUGGGGGCAGAAAAGAG
ensembl:lncRNA